AGUGUGCCUGGAGGCAAGUGUGCCAAUCUCAGUAAUGCUAACUGAGCCCUCCCUCGCCUAUUUCCAGCUCCCAUGGGUCUCGUCCUCUCUAUGGGAGCUAUUGUUUCCUCGGGGCUGGUGUUCCCACUCACAAAAGAUGCUCAGCUGGCAGAGAGUCAUUCAGGAUGUAAAAUGGGAUGCAAAUAACAGCUGAUGAGCCAGAUAGACAGACAGGAUGUGUUGCUGUGAAGACCAUUUUACAUUAAACCACUUUACACUC